AGUUUAGCUAAUGUUGCCCGUACCGUAAACCGACACAGGUGGGUGGGAUGAGUAUUCUAAGGCGCGUGGAAGAACUCUCUUUAAGGAACUCUGCAAAAUAGCACCGUAUCUUCGGUAUAAGGUGUGGUUAGCUUUGUAUUAGGAUUUACUCCGAAAGCGAAGAAACUUACAACAAAGAGUCCCUCCCGACUGUUUACCAAAAACACAGCACUCUGCUAACUCGUAAGAGGAUGUAUAGGGUGUGACGCCUGCCCGGUGCUCGAAGGUUAAUUGAUGGGGUUAGCAUUAGCGAAGCUCUUGAUCGAAGCCCGAGUAAACGGCGGCCGUAACUAUAACGGUCCUAAGGUAGCGAAAUUCCUUGUCGGUUAAAUACCGACCUGCAUGAAUGGCGUAACGAGAUGGGAGCUGUCUCAAAGAGGGAUCCAGUGAAAUUGUAGUGGAGGUGAAAAUUCCUCCUACCCGCGGCAAGACGGAAAGACCCCGUGGACCUUUACUACAGCUUGACACUGCUACUUGGAUAAGAAUGUGCAGGAUAGGUGGGAGGCUUUGAGUAUAUGACGCCAGUUGUAUAGGAGCCAUUGUUGAGAUACCACUCUUUCUUAUUUGGGUAGCUAACCAGCUUGAGUUAUCCUCAAGUGGGACAAUGUCUGGUGGGUAGUUUGACUGGGGCGGUCGCCUCCCAAAUAAUAACGGAGGCUUACAAAGGUUGGCUCAGAACGGUUGGAAAUCGUUCGUAGAGUAUAAAGGUAUAAGCCAGCUUAACUGCAAGACAUACAAGUCAAGCAGAGACGAAAGUCGGUCUUAGUGAUCCGGUGGUUCUGUGUGGAAGGGCCAUCGCUCAAAGGAUAAAAGGUACCCCGGGGAUAACAGGCUGAUCUCCCCCAAGAGCUCACAUCGACGGGGAGGUUUGGCACCUCGAUGUCGGCUCAUCGCAUCCUGGGGCUGGAGCAGGUCCCAAGGGUAUGGCUGUUCGCCAUUUAAAGCGGUACGCGAGCUGGGUUCAGAACGUCGUGAGACAGUUCGGUCCCUAUCUGCCGUGGGCGUAAGAAGAUUGAAGAGAUUUGACCCUAGUACGAGAGGACCGGGUUGAACAAACCACUGGUGUAGCUGUUGUUCUGCCAAGAGCAUCGCAGCGUAGCUAAGUUUGGAAAGGAUAAACGCUGAAAGCAUCUAAGCGUGAAGCCAACUCUAAGAUGAAUCUUCUCUAAGCUCUCUAGAAGACUACUAGUUUGAUAGGCUGGGUGUGUAAUGGAUGAAAGUCCUUUAGCUGACCAGUACUAAUAGAGCGUUUGGCUUAUCUUUAAUAAAGCAU
rnacentral:rRNA from 1 species